rnacentral:rRNA from 1 species
UACGUAGGGGGCUAGCGUUGUCCGGAAUCAUUGGGCGUAAAGCGCGUGUAGGCGGUCCGGUAAGUCCGCUGUGAAAGUCCGGGGCUCAACCCUCGAAUGCCGGUGGAUACUGUCGGGCUAGAGUGCGGAAGAGGCGAGUGGAAUUCCUGGUGUAGCGGUGAAAUGCGCAGAUAUCAGGAGGAACACCUAUUGCGAAGGCAGCUCGCUGGGACGUAACUGACGCUGAGACGCGAAAGCGUGGGGAGCAAACAGG